AAUAGAUACCCGGGUAGUCCACGCCGUAAACGAUGAGUGCUAGGUGUUAGGGGGUUUCCACCCCUUAGUGCUGCAGCUAACGCAUUAAGCACUCCGCCUGGGGAGUACGGUCGCAAGACUGAAACUCAAAGGAAUUGACGGGGGCCCGCACAAGCGGUGGAGCAUGUGGUUUAAUUCGAAGCAACGCGAAGAACCUUACCAGGUCUUGACAUCCCGCUGACCGCCAUGGAGACAUGGCUUUCCCUUCGGGGACAGCGGUGACAGGUGGUGCAUGGUUGUCGUCAGCUCGUGUCGUGAGAUGUUGGGUUAAGUCCCGCAGCGAGCGCAACCCUUGUCCUUAGUUGCCAUCAUUCAGUUGGGCACUCUAAGGAGACUGCCGUACAAAUACGGAGGAAGGUGGGGAUGACGUCAAAUCAUCAUGCCCCUUAUGACCUGGGCUACACACGUGCUACAAUGGGCAGUACAAAGGGCUGCGAACCCGCGAGGGGGAGCGAAUCCCAAAAAGCUGCUCCCAGUUCGGAUUGCAGGCUG
rnacentral:rRNA from 1 species